UGGCUCAUUAAAUCAGUUAUCGUUUAUUUGAUAGUACCUUACUACUUGGAUACCUGUGGUAAUUCUAGAGCUAAUACAUGCUAAAAACCCCGACUUCGGAAGGGGUGUAUUUAUUAGAUAAAAAACCAAUGCCCUUCGGGGCUCCUUGGUGAUUCAUAAUAACUUCUCAGAUCGCAUGGCCUUGCGCCGGCGACGGUUCAUUCAAAUUUCUGCCCUAUCAACUUUCGAUGGUAAGGUAUUGGCUUACCAUGGUGGCAACGGGUAACGGGGAAUUAGGGUUCGAUUCCGGAGAGUUAGCCUGAGAAACGGCUAACACAUCCAAGGAAGGCAGCAGGCGCGCAAAUUACCCAAUCCCGAUACGGGGAGGUAGUGACAAUAAAUACUGAUACAGGGCUCUUUUGGGUCUUGUAAUUGGAAUGAGUACAAUUUAAACCUCUUAACGAGGAACAAUUGGAGGGCAAGUCUGGUGCCAGCAGCCGCGGUAAUUCCAGCUCCAAUAGCGUAUAUUAAAGUUGUUGCAGUUAAAAAGCUCGUAGUUGAACCUUUGGCCUGGCUGGCAGGUCCGCCUCACCGCGUGCACUUGUCCGGCCGGGCCUUUUCUUCUGGAGAACCGCAUGCCCUUCACUGGGUGUGUUGGGGACCAGGACUUUUACUUUGAAAAAAUUAGAGUGUUCAAAGCAGGCCUUUGCUCGAAUAUUACAGCAUGGAAUAAUAGAAUAGGACGUGCGGUUCUAUUUUGUUGGUUUCUAGGACCGCCGUAAUGAUUAAUAGGGACAGUCGGGGGCAUCAGUAUUCAAUUGUCAGAGGUGAAAUUCUUGGAUUUAUUGAAGACUAACUACUGCGAAAGCAUUUGCCAAGGAUGUUUUCAUUAAUCAGUGAACGAAAGUUAGGGGAUCGAAGACGAUCAGAUACCGUCGUAGUCUUAACCAUAAACUAUGCCGACUAGGGAUCGGGCGGUGUUAUUAUUUUGACUCGCUCGGCACCUUACGAG
rnacentral:rRNA from 1 species